GUCGAGCGGUAACAGGGGAGCUUGCUCCUGCUGACGAGCGGCGGACGGGUGAGUAACGCGUAGGAAUCUACCUAGUAGAGGGGGACAACAUGUGGAAACGCAUGCUAAUACCGCAUACACCCUAAGGGGGAAAGGAGGGGACUCUUCGGAGCCUUCCGCUAUUAGAUGAGCCUGCGUGAGAUUAGCUAGUUGGUAGGGUAAAGGCCUACCAAGGCGACGAUCUCUAACUGGUCUGAGAGGAUGACCAGUCACACUGGGACUGAGACACGGCCCAGACUCCUACGGGAGGCAGCAGUGGGGAAUAUUGGACAAUGGGCGGAAGCCUGAUCCAGCCAUGCCGCGUGUGUGAAGAAGGCCUUAGGGUUGUAAAGCACUUUCAGGGGUGAGGAAGGGUGACUGGCUAAUAUCCAGUUAUCUUGACGUUAGCCCCAGAAGAAGCACCGGCUAACUCUGUGCCAGCAGCCGCGGUAAUACAGAGGGUGCAAGCGUUAAUCGGAAUUACUGGGCGUAAAGCGCGCGUAGGUGGUUUGUUAAGUCGGAUGUGAAAUCCCAGGGCUCAACCUUGGAAUGGCACCCGAUACUGGCUAGCUAGAGUAUGGUAGAGGGGUGUGGAAUUUCCUGUGUA
rnacentral:rRNA from 1 species